AGGGGGGAGAACCAACAGGGAUUGCCCCAGUAACGGCGAGUGAAGCGGCAACAGCUCAAAUUUGAAAUCUGGCCCCCAGGGCCCGAGUUGUAAUUUGCAGAGGAUGCUUUUGGCGACGCGCCUUCCGAGUUCCCUGGAACGGGACGCCAUAGAGGGUGAGAGCCCCGUCUGGUCGGACGCCGAGCCUCUGUAAAGCUCCUUCGACGAGUCGAGUAGUUUGGGAAUGCUGCUCUAAAUGGGAGGUAUAUGUCUUCUAAAGCUAAAUACCGGCCAGAGACCGAUAGCGCACAAGUAGAGUGAUCGAAAGAUGAAAAGCACUUUGAAAAGAGGGUUAAAUAGUACGUGAAAUUGUUGAAAGGGAAGCGCUCACGACCAGACUUGAGCCCGGUGAAUCACCCAGCGUUCUCGCUGGUGCACUUCGCCGGGCCCAGGCCAGCAUCGGUUCGCCGCGGGGGAGAAAGGCGUCGGGAACGUGGCUCCCUCGGGAGUGUUAUAGCCCGUCGCACAAUACCCUGGGGCGGACCGAGGUUCGCGCAUCUGCAAGGAUGCUGGCGUAAUGGUCGUCAGCGACCCGUCUUGAAACACGGACCAAGGAGUCGUCUUCGUAUGCGAGUGUUCGGGUGUAAAACCCCUACGCGUAAUGAAAGUGAACGCAGGUGAGAGCUUCGGCGCAUCAUCGACCGAUCCUGAUGUUCUCGGAUGGAUUUGAGUAAGAGCAUACGGGGCCGGACCCGAAAGAAGGUGAACUAUGCCUGUGUAGGGUGAAGCCAGAGGAAACUCUGGUGGAGGCUCGCAGCGGUUCUGACGUGCAAAUCGAUCGUCAAACAUGGGCAUGGGGGCGAAAGACUAAUCGAACCUUCUAGUAGCUGGUUUCCGCCGAAGUCCCCCUCCAGGGAAGGAAA
rnacentral:rRNA from 1 species